rfam:Ruminococcus torques L2-14 draft genome.
UGAGUAAGACAGACAAUCGCGGCUGCAAGUGCCGAAAGGCCGCAGGUGAGGAAAGUCCGGGCUUCUUAGGGCAGGAUGCCGGAUAACGUCCGGUGGAGGUGACUCCCAGGCCAGUGCAACAGAAAUAAACCGCCUGUGCAUUUUGUGCAGGUAAGGGUGGAAAGGCAGUGUAAGAGACUACCGCCUUGCUGGUAACAGGAAGGGCACAUGUAAACCCCAUCCGAAGCAAGACCGAAUAUAAGCAAUGUGGCUGCCCGUCACGCUUAAGGUGGGUCGCUUGAGCGCAGCGGUAACGCGGCGCCUAGAUAGAUGAUUGUUCAACGACAUAACCCGGCUUAUCGUUUUGCUCAAUCA